UACGUAGGGGGCGAGCGUUGUCCGGAUUUAUUGGGCGUAAAGAGCUCGUAGGCGGUUUGGUAAGUCGGGUGUGAAAUCUCCACGCUCAACGUGGAGGGGCCACUCGAUACUGCCAUGACUCGAGUCCGGUAGAGGAGUGUGGAAUUCCCGGUGUAGCGGUGAAAUGCGCAGAUAUCGGGAGGAACACCCGUAGCGAAGGCGGCACUCUGGGACGGUACUGACGCUGAGACGCGAAAGCGUGGGGAGCGAACAGG
rnacentral:rRNA from 1 species